rnacentral:lncRNA from 1 species
UUGGUUCCUUGGAAUUCUCGCCUCUUAAAAGAGCUUUUAAUGGAAAGAACGUUUUCCAAAACUGUGUAGAGAAUGGUACAGCUCGACAAGAAAUCGAAGCCUCCAUAAUUGGUACCUCAUUGGGGUGCACAACCGAUUCAAGUUUUAUACUGAGUAAAGGGCCCAUGUAAGGACCUGAAUUAGAUGUCCCCAUAAUUGGAUUGAAUUGGCCCUUCGCUUCAAGAUCAUUCAAAUGUUGAAUUGGUCCUUUCCCCUUUUGCUGACUUCUUGUAUAGAUAGCUUAGACUACUUCUACCCAAUGAACUAGUGAAUCUUGAGGACCUUGAUUUAUCUCCUCUAUUUUUCCUUAGCUUUGGAUCUG